rnacentral:rRNA from 1 species
UACGUAGGUGGCAAGCGUUAUCCGGAAUUACUGGGCGUAAAGCGCACGCAGGAGGCUAUCUAAGAUUGACGUGAAAGCUUCUGGCUUAACUGGAAGAGGUCGUUGAUGACUGGAUGGCUUGAGACGAGGAGAGGGGUGCAGAAUUCCCGGUGGAGUGGUGGAAUGCGUAGAGAUCGGGAGGAAUACCAGUGGCGAAAGCGGCACCCUGGCCUUAGUCUGACGCUCAGGUGCGAAAGCGUGGGGAGCAAACGGG